rnacentral:rRNA from 1 species
AAGGGUUUAUGACCAGACCUUUGCGUUGGGAAUCAUCCGGUGUUCUCACCGGUGCACUUCCCUUCGUUGAGGCCAGCAUCAGUUUUAGUUGGGGGAUAAAGACUUUAGGAAUGUGAUUCUUCCGGGAAUGUUAUAGCCUUUUGUGUAAUACCCUGACCGAGACUGAGGACCGCGCUUCGGCUAGGAUGCUGGCAUAAUGGUCAUCAGCCA